AAAUUACCAGAAUUAGAUUAACGAUUGUAAUAUUUAAAAGCCGAGACUUUUUUCUAAAGGGAAAAGUCUCGGCUUUUUUAUUUUAAUUUAUUAGGAAUUUAUACAAACGAAGUAUUUAUGACGAGACUCCUGAGGGAACAGGAUGAGCCGAAGAUUACAGGCUGAGGUUGUCCCCUCGGAAAGCGAAGUCAUAUAAUACGAAGUUUCAUCAUAAGAAGAAAGCGCUAA
rnacentral:ncRNA from 1 species